CUUGGAUGUGCAUCAGAAUCGCAUCUGAGAAGUGUCAGGUCAGGUGUCUUUUACAGCCUCCUUACAGGUUGUAUCGGUGGCUGUGCUGUGCAGUCAUCUCUUGUAACCGCCUGGGAUUUCUGAGAGUUUAAGAAGAUUCUGAACAUAGCCUUGUCUCCCAUCCAUCUUAGCAAUUUUGUAGGCAGUUCUUGUCCCAGGCCAUUCUGUUAGAGUGUCUUUUCAGGCUCCCCAGAGCCUCCUCCGUUCAGUCUCGCCGUAUCCUCCGUCUUCUCGUGCGGCAGCACAUCCAUUUUGGCGUCGUUCCUUUCUCAGAGUUCUCUCUCCUGGUUGCACCACAGCACUUGUCUGGAAAUGUGUCCUUGGAGUUUGUGUUGGGCCUGGAACUGCUCUGCCCUGCAGUGUAGACUUGGGGGUAGGUGGAGUAGAAAGGAGACUUCCCGGUUACCCCAUGGAUAGGCUUAGGCACUGAGGACCUUAAAGUUAGGUCAGUGUUUGUUUGUGCAGGUUGUCUUUGGACCCCAGAGGGCUUGUCUAAGGAGAAAUUAGAAUUGCACAGCAGCUAAAGUCCCCCUGUAUAUAUGGCUGACUUUGGUAACUCAUUUCUUUGCAGUAUCAGAGGGACUGGAUGUAAAGCAGAGAUGAACAGAAGAGGCUGGAGGAGCACAGUCAGAAGAUGCAGAGCCCUCAGCCCAGCAGAUGACAGGCACCAGAGGGAAGGUGAGCCUGGUGAGCAAGGCAAUGCACCGACUUCUAACAUACAGUCCAACGUGACGGGGACCCUGCCUGUAAGAGGAGACGUACGAAGCCUCACAGGGCUGAAGCCAACUCACAGUGAGGUGACGGACACGGUUUGGUCCUCUGGAGCUGUCCUUGUAGGUAAUCUCCGAGUAUUGAAAGGAUCAGCAAUGAAGGAUUGAGCUUUUUUGAUUGCAGGUGCCAUCCAGCUAACCUUUGGGAGCAGAUGAGCGUUGGAGGUGAG